UACGUAGGUGGCAAGCGUUGUCCGGAUUUACUGGGCGUAAAGAGCGCGUAGGCGGUCGUUCAAGUCGAGUGUGAAAGCCCCCGGCUCAACUGGGGAGGGUCACUCGAUACUGAUCGACUCGAAGGCAGGAGAGGGUAGUGGAAUUCCCGGUGUAGUGGUGAAAUGCGUAGAUAUCGGGAGGAACACCAGUGGCGAAGGCGACUACCUGGCCUGUUCUUGACGCUGAGGCGCGAAAGCUAGGGGAGCAAACGGG
rnacentral:rRNA from 1 species